AUAACACUAAAACGUCCUUUCUGCUUGAAACGUGUUUGGUGUCGUCCCUCUAACGUGCUGGCGACUAUCAGGUCUACUUGCUGUGGAUGUCGUGCUCGGGAAUCUAGUAAUGUAAUCGUCUGCGUUGUGAACCUAUCUAACCUCACGGGCACAGAGGUGUGCUCCUCGCUCAUGGCGUUCGCUGGACCCAGACGGGAGACCAAGUACAAUGAUGUGACUAGUUUAUCGCUAACAUUAUUGUGUAAUCUUUUCUUUCUUAAAUGUCCACUUUAGCCAAGGGUAUGUAAAGUAAUACACUGCUUCACAUUCAGGCGGAGGGUCUGGGUUGAGUUCUGCCGGAACAGAAGCCUACAGAACAAGACACCACAGCAGCUGCGGGAACGGGCGGUAUGCUCCAGGCACUUCAAACCCUCUGCAUUUCUUUACCGAGGAAGGCUGCGUCGUGAUGCAAUACCAGCAUAUUUGACCACUGAGGGUGCCGGAGAUGCCGUCCAGAGCAGCAGCCCUGGCCAAUUGACUAGCGAGGGCGAGCCCACACUGGCCAGCAGCAGUAGCACCGAUGGGCCCACAUCAUCACGGUGUCACACGCACCACACUACAGAAGAAGAUGUGGGGAGCAGUCUCACGGCUCUGACCUCUGGCACGAAGACUAGCCCUCCAACCAGAGUUCAUG